GGAAGUAAAGGUCGUAACAAGGUUUCCGUAGGUGAACCUGCGGAAGGAUCAUUAUUGUAUAACCGAGGUGCGAGGGCUGUCGCUGACCCGAAAGGUCGUGCACGCCCGAGUGCCCUCACACACAUCCAUCUCACCCCUAUGUGCACCACCGCGUGGGUCCCCCUUCGGCUUGUUCGGAGGGGGGCUUACGUUUUCACACAAACUUUGUAUGCAGUGUAGAAUGUAUUUUUUGUUUUUGCGAUCACGCAAUCAGUACAACUUUCAACAACGGAUCUCUUGGCUCUC
rnacentral:misc_RNA from 1 species